rnacentral:rRNA from 1 species
UACGAAGGGGGGCGAAGCGUUGUUCGGGAUUUACUGGGCGUAAAGGGCGCGCAGGCGGUCUUGAAAGUCAGGCGUGAAAGCCCCGGGCUAACCUGGGAAUUGCGCUUGAUACUCUGAGACUGGAGUACGGGAGAGGAGAGUGGAAUUCCCAGUGAGAGGUGAAAUUCGUAGAUAUUGGGAAGAACACCAGUGGCGAAGGCGCUCUUCUGGACCGAACUGACGCUGAGGCGCGAAAGCGUGGGGAGCAAACAGG